AGUAGCUGAGAGACUCCUCUGACCAUGGCCAGCCUCAGGAAGUGAGUGUCAACAGCCUUGCAGAUGGGAACUCAACUCCUGGGUACCCAUGCCUGAAAAGACAAUUUCGCUCUUGAUGCCCAGGCUGGAGUGUAAUGGCAUGAUCUCAGCUCACUGCAACCUCCGCCUCCCAGAUUCAAGCAAUUCUUCUGCCUCAGCCUCCCAAGCUGGGAUUACAGGCAUGUGUCACCAUGCACCUCUUGCACCCGGUCUCCUUCUCAGAGUCUGAUGCCCAGGAAAUCUGAUCUGUGGCAGUGUGGGGAUUCAUCCAAGAAUGAAGACUGUUUGUAAAUUGAGAUUUGAGGGUGGAAUCAUCCACUGGCCAGCCAGCUGUGAGGACCAGCCGCUGGUGGUUGGGGGUGCACAAAUGGCCUCAGGCCCGCUGUACUGCUGCAACUAUUAAAACUCCACCAUGGUGUACAUGGAAGGAUGGCUGGUAGAAUAGGACUUACUGGCAAGUAGUGUAUCAGGCAUUUGAGAGAUACAGGGCAAUAGUCAUUAUAAAGACAAUAGAACUAGAUAGUUGUUGUUAGGAAAUAAUCUAUUCUUUGGGGCAAGACCGUAAAAGGCUGAGGGUAAUUAAUCACCUCUUACAGGCUAAGUCAGAAUUCCAGAGGACAUCCUCAGAAGCAUAAAAAGAUACCCUCAUCUCCUAUCAUUGGAGUGCAGAAAAACCUGAGGAAUGAAUUUAGGAUUUAAUUAUGGAAGCACAGAGUUUCAGAGAAGGUUGAGUUCUGAGUUCCACAGACCAGCUCUGCCAAGGUCAGAGCCCUAAUUAUGAAGGAAUGGAACUGCAAUACAUGGGAUGUGGACAACUGAUGUAGGAUUUUUUCUUCUUGGUCACUUUGCAAGCCUGGGACCUCCAGCCAGUGAUGUCCGCCCAGGGCUUGCUUGGCUAUGCUGGUGUGCCUCAGCUUGUCUGUGUUAUAGCUUGUACCCACAUUUGGUGAUUCUCAAGCUCUUGUACCACACCCAAGAAGAUUGAGGAUAUGCUGCACAUUGAAGGGUGAGGAGGGCAGAGAAGAAUUUUACUGAGCGACCGAACAGCUCUCAGUGGAGAGGGGACACAGGGGAUGGUCCCUCACCCCCACAGUCAGGUGGUUCUCUCCUCCUUGCGUAGGUGGGUCUGGGGAUUUUUAUGGACUCAGAAUGGGGAGGGGCAGGCCAUAGGUAGUAUUGGAAAAGGCAACACUCAAUUGGUUAAAAAGUAUUAUUCAGAAAGAAUCAAUAGGGAAAGGGUGAGCAAACAGGAACAGAAGUUCUCAUUCUGGGUCACCGGUUUCAUCUGGGACCAGCAAUCUAGUUUUUCAGCCUUCAAGCUGUUUUUGACUUGAAGGUGGGGUUUCACCAGGGACCCACCCCUAUCUGCCUCAGCAUUUGGCUGACUCCUAUCGCUAUCAAAACUGUGUUAAUGUAUUAGAAACUCUUGAAUCCCCAGAUUCUCCUGUAUCCUCUGGGUCUGCAGAAGCAACCCACUCCUUCCUGUUAAAAGAUGGUACUCUGAUGUGCACCACCACCCCCAAGGAACACCCCUUGGUUUAAGCCAAUGCAAAGUCCUUUGCCUUGCGAGACAGCAUGCACACUCCUCAAGGAUAUGUUCUCAACUCCCCUCCUGACCAAUAAUCAGAAAUAUGUCACAACGUAACCCAACUGUGCUGGGCCUGCUAAGAGAGGAAAGGGAUUACAGCCAGCAGGAGCCACCGGACAUAUAUGCAUAUGCAUACAUUCCAAUAUGCGCUGGCAGGAGCUGGGAGAAUACAUAAAUGACUAGAUUCUAAGGGUACUGGAUCAAGGGGCAUGGGACAUAAAGUUGGUUAGGGGACAGUUUAUCAAUAUGGCAGCACUCUUCUGCAAUACAGAUUUAAUACCCUAUUUAAGGAGGUGAAGCUAACAUAUUUCUAGGAUGGCCCUUAGAAGCUUGGACAAAGUGAAGUAGAAGUGCCAGAAUUGCUGUGGCAGAUGGUGGAAGAGGGAUAGAAACCUUGAGCAGUAGGCCUACUACAGUGGAUAUAAUUAGCAAAACUGGGAAACUCACUCUAUGACUAUGUUUGGUGGGAAGCCCUGGAGGACACACUGUUGAUAAAAUCAAUAAGAAAUGCACUGACAAGAAGGCACCAGAAUCUCUGAGAAGCUUAGUGGUUGGUGAUAGUCUUCUGCAAGGUGGGAGAUCCUGUUGCAGAACUGGGCUCUCUGAUAGUAGAAGGAAAUGACAGAAUUCCAAAAUAAUAGAGUCAGGUGACACUUAAAUACCAGAAGAAAAGUGGGUGCAAUUAUUGUCAUGAAAAGCAAAGCUGAAGUGGAAGCCCAGGAGGCCUGACCUGAGAGCUAUUGAAGCAGCAACUAGAACGUGAUGUCCCUGGAGGUAAGACAAACAGACAGUCAACAGGGUCUUGCCCAAUCUAUACAAGCAAAAGAAAUCAAGAGUAGAUGAUUAGGAGACUAAAAGUAGCCACCACAGUAAAAACUUAAAAUCUCUUUUUUAGUUUCCAGACCUGAGCCAGUUUUCUGACCUAGCACCCAUUGAUUGAAGGAGAAUCUAAAUCCCUGGGAAGGCCUUAUAAAACCAUAGCAAGUAUAAAUGGCAAUGAUUCCCCUAGUCUUCCCCCCAAAAUACUAAGAACUAUUUACUUAGGUAAUUAUGUACUGGGAAAGCGUGGUACCCAUAUAGUUUGAGGACACAGAGCCCAAGUUAAUAUUGGUACCUGGAAACCUAAGACAUUAGGAGAGCCAUCUAUUAGAGGAGGGGUGAAUGGGCACCAGGUAAUAAAUGGUCGAGGCCUAGGUCGAGCUCACACUUGGUCCCCUGGGGUCCACAGACUCACCCAGUGAUCAUGGUCCUAAUCCCCAAAUGUGUAAUUUGAAAUGGACAUACUUGAGGGUUGGCAGAAACCUUACAUUGGUUCAUUGGCCUGCAGAAUGAGAAGUAUCACAGUAGAGAAGGCUCAGUGCAAACCUUGAACUAUCCCUCUAGCCCAUGCAAGAUAAGGCAGAACAGGAACCCCUUUUAGGAGCCUGUACCCUUCUUCCCCUGAGCAUGAAAAUAAAGGAAAAUCUUCCUUCAAAGGAAAUUUGAGGCAACUAGCUAGCCUAAAUAAGGGAACAACUUAAUAAGCAAGAAGGUAAUAGUAACUUAAAACAAUAGCCAAGGAAGUUAGAGUCAGCAGAUAAUUUGUUUCCUAUAGAAACUAAAGGUAACAUCCUAACAUAUGUCACUGAGUUGUUUUUCAAAAACCCGGAUCCCCACCAAAUGGAUCCAUUGGCACUUAGGCCCAGAUAAGGAGGAAAUGAGGACUGAACCCUGACCGCUGUUCUUUGUUCUAAAUUUCUUCCUAAGGGGCCUGGAGGAGGUCACACCCACGAGCCAGAGCUGACGUUCUUUUUUAGAGACAAAACUUUGCCUCCUUAACCAAUUGCAAAUGAGAAAAUCUUUGAGUCUGCCACCAACCUAUGGGCUCCUGCUUUGAGAUAGCCCACUUUUUUAGGUCAAACCAAUGUAUAGCCUCCGUGUUUUGCUUUAUGACUUUGCCUGUAACCUCUGCCUCUUCACCUUUAGAAACUGUUACCCGUAAGUCAUCUGGGAGUUCCGGUCUUAAGCAUGAGCUGCCCGAUUCUUCUUGCUUGGUGCCCUGCAAUAAAUGCCUCACUUUCUCUUGAUGCUAUGCCAAUGUCAGCAUGUGGCUUUGCUGCCCCAGGCAAGUGGACCCCAGUUCAGUUUGAUAACAAAGAUAAGUAAAUCAAAACCAAUAUCAUAUCCUGGGGGAAAACAGCAGCUGAAAACAUCUGCCUCCUCCGUGGUCAUGUUCCCACAUCCAGUGGCAGGCCAAUCCUUGAGGAUCAGGACAAUUCUGAAAGGCCAUCCUUCAUCUGGAGUCUUCCAUGAGAUUGACUGAGACCACUGGUGCGACCGUGUCACACCCCAAUUCCCCUUCUGCCCAGUCUGGCUUUCUCCACCCCCGACAGGUGUUGAUUCCCAAGAGUCUCUCCCAAUAACCUUAUUGCAUGUGAAUAUAUAUUUUAGAAUCUGCUUCCUGGGAAAUCUGACAGGACAGAAUGAAUCCACAACAUUCACUACCAGAAGAUGCUCUGCCUUUGAACUGGCCUGCCCAUGGGCUUUUCCCUGGACCUUGGGAGCACCUCUAAUCAAAAGUUAAUACCCAGAGCCUCAGAGGUUUCACUGAAACACUGCCCAGGAAGGAGUCACUGAAAAUCCUAUGAGGAAGGGAAGUGGGGGAACCUGGGAGGAAGGAAACUACACAAUCUGAAAGAUGUAUAAAUACAAAGUUUCCAUAAGUUUGGGGCUUGAAUCAUAUACCUGAGAGAGAGAGAUUUCUAGGAAUGAAAAGAAGCAAGCCACAGCCUUUCAUCAACUACCUAAGCCAAGCAGUGGGCAGAUCUACCAGCUGGCCAGGCAGGGGGUGCUGAAUGGCUGUCAGUCUUGUGGACAGGACGUCCCAACUAUUCUGACCUGUCACCGCUAUUUUGGGCACAGAAGGGAGGACCGUGGGGUCGUCAGCCUCAAGGCAUUUAGUCUUCUAUUCCUUUUCUCUUCCUUUCCAGUUCUUUGAAAUGAGAAUCAGGGUUUAUGUCCAGUCCCAGAGUGACACCUUAGACACCUUAAUUACACCACUUUGUUCUCUCUCUCUCUCUCUUUCUUUUUUUUUUUUUUUUGAGAUGGAAUUUUGCUCUUGUUGCCCAGGCUGGAGUGCAAUGGUGCAAUCUCGGCUCACCGCAACCUCCCCCUCCUGGGUUAAAGUCAUUCUCCUGCCUUAGCCUCCUGAGUAGCUGAGAUUACAUGCAUGUGCCACCACACCCUGCUAAUUUUUGUAUUUUUAGUAGAGACAGGGUUUCUCCAUUUUGGUCAGGCUGGUCUCGAACUCCCAGCCUCAGGUGAUCCACCUGCCCAAAGUGCUGGGAUUACAGGCGUGAGACUACAACAUGGUCCAGCCCUGAUGCCUCCCUUUUCCUCCACCCCCAUCUAAGUUGAGAAGAUUCUUAGCUGUAAAACUGUCAUGAGCUGACUGGAGAGGUCUAUAUUUUGAGCUUUAAAUGCACCUGGAAAGCAUAUUUUUGCUCUGAAAGUGCCCAGACAUGGAAGAAUUAAAACAAUUUUUAAUUUCCACUUUCUACAGGACUCAGAGGAAGAAAACCCCACCUGAGAGGCAUUUUUUUUUUCUCUUUCUCGGUGUCUCAGUUUCCUAGGGCUGCUGUAACAAAGCACCACAAACUGGGUACUUAACAGAAAUGUCUCAUUCCACAGUGCUGGAGGCUAGAUGUCUGCAGUCAAGCUGUGGGCAGGGCCAACCUGCCUCGGAAAGCUGUGGGGAUCCUUUCUAGCCUCACUGCUAGCUUCUGCUGAUUUGCUGGCAAUCUGUGAUGAUUUGAUUUUUGGCUUGCAUCUGUGUGACUCCACUCUACCCUCAUUGUCACAUGGUGAGGGAGAACAAGGAGGCCAUGUUCUCAUGGCCAUCUUAAAGGACAUCAGACAGAUUAGGGGCCCACUCUAGUCCAGCAUGACCUCAUCUUAACUAAUUGCAUCUGCAAGAGCCCUAUUUCCAAAUGAGGUCACAUUCUGAGGUACUGGAGGUUAGAACUUUAGAAUAUGAAUUUGGAGAGCACACAAUUCAACCCAUAAUACUCAGUGGGGAUUGCAUUGCCACCCUUUCUCUGAACCCCUGGUAAAAAGAAAAGAAAGAAAUUGUGCUUGGGAUGAAAUGAAGGGUCAGAAUGAUUGGAAAUCUCAAGCUCUUUCAGGCACUCCUGGGUGGUAGUUGAUUGGGAGUCAGUGAAAAAGAAGAGCUCAGCUGGGCGCGGUGGCUCACACCUGUAAUCCCAGCACUUUGGGAGGCCGAGGUGGGUAGAUCACCUGGGGUCAGGAGUUCAAGACCAGCCUGGGCAGUGUGGUGAAACCCUGUCUCUACUAAAAAUACAAAAAUUAGCUGGGCGUGGUAGCGCGUGCCUGUAAUCCCAGCUACUCGGGAGGCUGAGGUAGGAGAAUUGCUUGAGCCCAGGAGACAGAGGUUGCAGUGAGCUGAGUUUGCACCACUGCACUCCAGCCUGGGUGACAGAGCGAGACUCCAUCUCAAAAAAAAAAAAAGAAGAGCUCAAAUAUGUUAUUAAAUACAAAUUAGCCAGUAGAGUUGUUGGAUGAUUACAAGACAUCUGAUAAAAAAUCACAUUUUCAGAAGACAUUAUUCUCUAAGUAAGUACCAAACGCUGGCACCGUAUCUGGGCUUGUGGAAAUAACGUAUUUGAUUUCAAUGCUGGUCUAAUCCAGAAGAAUGUAACCUGCUUAACGUUCACUAGAAUUUUUAUCUGUGCUCUUCCUUUGACAUCCAUUUUUGUCACAGAAUGUUAUCCAGGGCACACUGGCCUAGAAGUAAAUGUAGUAUAGUAUACUAACAUUUAUCAAGUGCUGAUUUUGCACCAGGUACUUUUCUAAGAACUUUAUCUGUGUAUUUAAUCCUCACAACAAUUCUAUUAUUGCCAUUUGGUAAAUUAGGAGAUUGAGGUACAGAGAGAUUACACAGUUAGGAAGUGGCAGCAUGAACAACAAAAGAAAAAAUUAGAUAAACUGGACUUCCUCAAAGUUAAAAACUUUUGUGCAUCAAAGGACAUUAUCAAGAAAGUGAAAAGGAGACGUGUAGAAUGGAAGAAAAUAUUUGCAAAUCAUAUACCUGAUAAGGGUCUAAUAUCCAGAAUAUAUAAAGAACUCUUGUAGCCUAGCCUAACAUGAAGAGGACUACCCAAUUUUAAAAAUGGGCAAAGGACCUGAAUAGACAUUUUCCCAAAGAUACACAAAUAGCCAUCAAGCACCUGAAAAGGCACUCAACAUCAUUAGUCAUUAGGGAAAUGCAAAGCAAAACCUCAACCAGCUACCACUUAACACCCACUAGGAUGGCAAUAAUCAAAAAAAUAGUCAAUUACAAGUGCUGGCGAGGAUGUGGAGAAAUUGGAACCGUUGUUCGUGGCUGAUGGAAACAUAAAAUGGUGAAUCCACUGUACAAAAGAGUUUGGUAGUACCUCAAAGAGUUAAACAUAGAACUUUCAUUUGACCCAGCAAUUCCAGUCCUAGGUGUAUACUCAAAAGAAUUGAAUACAGGUACUGAAAUCCUUGUACAUGAAUGUUCACAGUAGCACUAUUCAGAAUAGCCAAAAGGUGGAAACAACCCAAAUCUGCAUCACUGGAUGAGUGGAUGAACAAAUGGUG
rnacentral:lncRNA from 10 species